AUGCUGAGAAGCAGGGUGUUGGAAUUUAGUAGCAGAUUCCAGAGUUUUGUGUGGGUGUGGAGGUGAGGCAGGACAGGCUUUGGAAAGAUGUUAUUCAAGGGGAGCAGAGAGUUCAGGCAGAUUUCAAGCCAAAUGUAUACUCCAACUGCAACAUCCAUCUGAAGGGUUUGGGCAAUCAGGUAUGAGGCAACAAGGAAGGAAUCUGAGAUGCAGGAACAGAGCAAGGAGGUCUGAAAUAGUGAGUGGAGAUUGAAAGCUAGAUAUACUCCUUCAGUAGAGCCUGGCAUGCCUGAGAUCAUGUCUGCUGCUGUGGAGGGAAUUCUUAAAGAGAACUACUUAGUUGGUAUUGCUUGAGUCACAGAAUCAAAUAAUUUUGCUUUUUAAAAAUCGGAUAUCAUGAUUUUUCUAAGGUUCGACACUUAAAAAUCAAACACCAUGCUUGUGAAAAUAAAUUCCUAAAAUUGCUUUCCAUUUUAAUGGGGCUGACUUUUUUAUUUCAUCAUUAAAUAUUUCUGGAGAGAAGGAACAAUUCAUUCAUUCAAAGAAUAUUAUUGAGCAUCUAGUAUAUGCAAGCCUCAGACCUAUGUGCUGGAGAUAAAUAAUAUCUGACUAUAUAGAGCUUAGGCUCUGGUGAGGAAGAUAGAGGGUAAUCCAACAAUCAUACAAAUAUUAAAUUACAAACUAAGGUAAGUGCCCUGAAGAAGUACAAGGAGCUAUUAAAGCAUGUACCUUAUUCUUUUUAGAAGAAUUACCUGAAUAACUCAUUGGAAUCUAUAAUUACUGGAAACAUAGAAGGAAAUAGGGCAGUAUCAGGAGAUGGGAGCAAGAGCAGGCAUUUGGUUUGAAUGAUCAGAAUUCUUGGUUUUUACUCUAGAGACAGAGCAAUGAGUUACACAGUGACAGGCUCACAUGGAGGAUAAAAUUUGCUGGCUAAAAAAAAAAAGCCCAAGGUGACAAAAUCAUCUUAGUCGUGAGGAAAACAUAAUCCGAUACAAAAAUUUGCCCUUUUUUUGGGAAUAGUUUUAAUUGGUAGGAACUCAGAAGCCUGAGGCAUGUGGUAGAUGAUGUCUAUCUUGCACUUGGUUGAAGAACUUCCAACUAAAAAAUAACACAAGUAAACAUCUUGUGUUUCUACGCACAUGAAACUCAUAUAUCUUAUCCAUCAGUGGUAGCUUGUCUCCAAAGACAUUCACCAUUAAUCCCUUCCCUUUGUGCACAUACAUGCCAUUCCCCUAUGGAGAGGUGGAAACUACCCCUCCUCCUUCUUGAAUCUUGGCUGGUCUGUACUUGCCUUUCGCUAUCAGAAUAUGGCAUAAGAGACCUGGGCCAUUUCUGGGCUAAGGUUCUAAGAUUAUUGGUAGUUUCUGCUUCCUGUUUCUUCCUUUUCUUAGAGCAUUAAGUCACCAUACAGUACAUCUAGACUACUCUUCUGGAGAAAGACACCAUGUGGAGGAGCAUGGAGGCAAUAAAAUAGAGGGUGAAGAAGCUGUCUUGGAAGCCCAGCCCAGACAAGCCUCCAGAUGACUCAACUGCUGACUGCCAUUGCAUGAGAACCAACCAGCCAGACCUCCAAGCUGGCAGGAGACUGCAUUCCCUGAACACCACUCCUAAACCUCCUGGAUACAGCAGUCUCCACCCUGGGCCCAGAGGCUUCUCUGGGGGAAAGAGGCAAAGACACGCCAGGAAAAUGAUCAUUUCAGGAACUGUGAAGUGUUAAAGAGAAAGUAUAUUAGAACUAUUAUGAAGUCACAGGAGAAGCCAUAUGAGUUGUCAGUGGUUGCUGUCUUUGCUACCCUUUCUUAAUGAUGCUGGCUCCCAUAUCUCAGCUUCAACUAGAGUCCUUUCAUAGAAUUGUCCCUCUCCCUCUCCCUCCCCCUCCCUCCCCCUCCCCCUCCCCCUCUCCCCACGGUCUCCCUCUCCCUCUCUUUCCACGGUCUCCCUCUGAUGCCAAGAUGAAGCUGGACUGUACUGCUGCCUUCUCGGCUCACUGCAACCUCCCUGCCUGAUUCUCCUGCCUCAGCCUGCCCAGUGCCUGGGAUUGCAGGCGCGUGCCGCCACACCUGACUGGUUUUCGUAUUUUUUUGGUGGAGACGGGGUUUCGCUGUGUUGGCCUGCCUGGUCUCCAGCUCCUAACCGCGAGUGAUCUGCCAGCCUCGGCCUCCUGAGGUGCUGGGAUUGCAGACGGAGUCUCUCAUUCACUCAGUGCUCAAUGUUGCCCAGGCUGGAGUGCAGUGGCGUGAUCUCGGCUCGCUACAACCUCCACCUCUCAGCUGCCUGCCUUGGCCUCCCAAAGUGCCGAGAUUGCAGCCUCUGCCCGGCCGCCACCCCGUCUGGGAAGUGGGGAGCGUCUCCCUGGCCGCCCAUCUUCUGGGAUGUGAGGAGCCCCUCUGCCCGGCUGCCCAGUCUGGGAAGUGAGGAGUGCCUCUUCCCGGCCGCCAUCCCGUCUAGGAAGUGAGGAAUGUCUCUGCCCGGCCACCCAUCAUCUGGGAUGUGAGGAGCGCCUCUGCCCGGCCACGACCCUGUCUGGGAGGUGAGGAGCAUCUCUGCCCGGCAGCCGCCCCGUCUGGGAAGUCAGGAGUGUCUCCGCCCGGCAGCGCCCAGUCUGGGAGGUGGGGGGCAGCCCCCACCUGGCCAGCCGCCCCGUCCGGGAGGGAGGUGGGGGCACCUCCGCCUGGCCGCCGCCCCGUCCGGGAGGUGGGGGGCGCCUCUGCCCGGCCGCCCCUUCUGGGAAGUGAGGAGCCCCUUUGCCCGGCUGCCACCCCGUCUGGGAGGUGUACCCAACAGCUCAUUGAGAACGGGCCAUGAUGACGAUGGCGGUUUUGUCGAAUAGAAAAGGGGGAAAUGUGGGGAAAAGAUAGAGAAAUCAGAUUGUUGCUGUGUCUGUGUAGAAAGAAGUAGACAUAGGAGACUCCAUUUUGUUCUGUACUAAGAAAAAUUCUUCUGCCUUGGGAUGCUGUUAAUCUAUGACCUUACCCCCAACCCUGUGCUCUCUGAAACAUGUGCUGUGUCCACUCAGGGUUGGAUGGAUUAAG
rnacentral:lncRNA from 10 species